GGCCUCGUGGCCCAAUGGUAAGGCGUCUGACUACGAGAGAGACUCGCAAAACGAGUCCUUCACGGGAAUCAGGAGAUUCUGGGUUCGAGACCCAGCGAGGUCA